CCCUUAGAUGUUCUGGGCCGCACGCGCGCCACACUGAUGCAUUCAACGAGUUUCUUCCUGGUCCGAGAGGAAUGGGUAACCUUUUGAAAGUGCAUCGUGAUAGGGAUAGACUAUUGCAAUUAUUGGUCUUCAACGAGGAAUUCCUAGUAGACGUAGUUCAUCAGACUGCAUCGAUUACGUCCCUGCCCUUUGUACACACCGCCCGUCGCUCCUACCGAUUGAAUGCUCAGGUGAGCCAUUCGGACUUUCAUCAUGCUGGUUUCCAGUUUUGAUGAAGGAAAGUCUUGCGAACCUUAUCAUUUAGAGGAAGGAGAAGUCGUAACA
rnacentral:rRNA from 1 species